UCCCUGGUGGCCAAGUGGUUAGGAUUCAGCACUUUAACUGCUGUAGCCCAGGUUCCAUUCCUGGUCGGGGAA